ensembl:lncRNA
AUUGUAAAGGCUCAUGCCAUAAAAUUGCCUCACAGAACAAAGUCCACAGGCCCCAUGGAGCAGAUAACAAGGUUCUACCAUCAUCAGCCAGCGUCUCCGCUGUUUUCAGCAGCGGGCCAGCGGGGCCAGACAGAGAGAGAGCUAUGGGCCUAUAGUGGGAACAGACCCAGCCAUACCUGAGUAGGGCCGGCCACGGCGGUAAUGAACCUCUUCACAUGGCCGUUCACCCAAAAGGAAAAGAGGUGGCUAAAGAAAGGAGGGCAGAGGAAGAGGAGGGGGCGCAGCCUAAUUUCACAGCCGGAGAAUAGCAGUGUACGCCGAACACACUGUGUGGCCAAACUCAGUGUUAUUCUGAGAAACAGUGAAUGAAAACACGCCACAGAGAAUGAAAACAAACCGCAGAGAAUGGAAACCGGUGAUGAAGAGGAUUGUGAAAUGAUGGUGUCGGCUGUGAGAACGCGGGCAGAUUUUUGGAUGGGUUAGCGUGAAAACCGUUAAUUUUGCACAAUUCUACAAACAUCAUCCCA